CCUACGGGAGGCAGCAGUGAGGAAUAUUGGUCAAUGGACGAGAGUCUGAACCAGCCAAGUCGCGUGAAGGAUGACUGCUCUAUGGGUUGUAAACUUCUUUUAUAUGGGAAUAAAAUGUUCCACGUGUGGGAUUUUGUAUGUACCAUAUGAAUAAGGAUCGGCUAACUCCGUGCCAGCAGCCGCGGUAAUACGGAGGAUCCAAGCGUUAUCCGGAUUUCUUGGGUUUAAAGGGUGCGUAGGUGGAUUGUUAAGUCAGUUGUGAAAGGUUGCGGCUCAACCGUAAAAUUGCAGUGGAUACUGGCAGACUUGAGUGCAGUAGAGGUAGGCGGAAUGCGUGGUGUAGCGGUGAAAUGCUUAGAUAUCACGAAGAACACCGAUUGCGAAGGCAGUUCACUGGACUGCAACUGACGCUGAGGCUCGAAAGUGUGGGGAUCAAACAGGAUUAGAUACCCCAGUAGUC
rnacentral:rRNA from 1 species